UAUAUAUAUAUAUAUAUAUAUAUAUAUAUAAAGUAAAACAAAAGAAAAGAAAUGAAAAAGGAUAGAAAAGAAGCAGAAUGAAACGAAACAGACAGCAAGGGAGAAAAAGAAAGAAAGAAAGAAAAGAAAGGAAGAAAAGAGAAAAUUGGGGGUUUGAUGCUUGAAGCUCAAAUAGCUAACGGGGUGCCGAAAAAUCCUCGGUUAAGAAAGGAAAAGACGAAGUCAACAAGAGUUAGCUCAGAAAUCACGGAUAAGUUAAAGUCAGAUCGUUGAAUCAGCAUCCCAGGCUGACCCCGAACUCAAUAAGAUCGAUGAACUAGAUGAAUGGCAGACACAUGUCAAGAAGAAAUCGAGAAUAUACGAUGCAGAACCAAAGCGACGCCAUGACAAGCAUAAGGAUGAAACGAAUCAAUUUAAGGUUGGGGACCAGGUACUGUUAGAUAAAACGGACCCUCGAAUUGCCACUUCAGAGCUUAAUGCAAAUGGAGUAACUCCUUUUACGAAUUGACAGCGAGAAAGAGGAGUUUCGACACUGCAAACCAUCGUGACCAUGCGAAUAUGAGGCACACCAUGAUGAACACACGCGGCAAGUCUAAGGUCGUAGUCCCCGCUUCGAAAAAGCGAAAAACCCAUGGUGCGACCUCCUUUUCUAGUGCUGGCCCGCCACCCCUAUCUCUUAUUUUCUGCGGGCCUCAGGAGAAUUCAUUUUAGUUACAUCGACAGUGCCCACUCGGCCUAGGCCGAUGUAUCGAUUGAGCCGUGUUGAAACAGGUCCACUAUAACACCCCUAACCCGUAUCCGUCGCUAAAAAGGGGUUACGAGGUAUUACCAGACGAAACAUAACUUCCGAAUAAUCAUAGGCAUAAUUUUAUUGAAACUUUUAAAACAAAUAAUUAUUAAUAUAAAUAAAACUAAAUUAAUCUCUUUGCAAA